UCACUCCCCCCGUCCCAGACAGCCGGCCCAUCCUCCCAGCAGGCACUGGGCCUUCUGGUGUGUUCCUUCUGUGAGCCCAGCCCAGCCACCAGAAACGUGGUAACUGGGGUGGAAUAAAUGGACCCUAAGGUCAGAGGUGUUAACCCGACUGUCCAGCAUUGAACAGGGGGUGGAGUUUGGCAUUCAGAGAUCUCAGCCUGCCAGGGGCCACGGCAAACACCCUGUUCCUCAGCCUUUUAAUCUUCUGUUCUAGGUGCGGAAAAGAACGCAGAACUGUUACAGCCUUUGAGACAUGAAGUAUUACAGCAGCUUUUGUUUUAACAACAACCCUGGUUCCCUUUGACUUUGGCCAUGAGGAGUCUUUAGAAAAUAAAAACCCACCUUGACAUGACCAUCUUCACCAGAUGAGGGCGCUCCCGCAGAGACGUCAUGGACCAGGCCACCCAACUACCCCAGAAAACCUGCUGCAAUAUGGAAAUAAAAGCCCUGGAACCGCACACCCCCAAUUGUCACCCAGCAUGGGAUAUCAUCAAACUACAGCCCAUACUCGAUGGGGAGCCCAUCCUGAAAAAUCUUCCCUGAGCCCCCUUUUUGGCCUUCGAACAACACCCCGAAUCCCCUCUCCAAGCUCUCCAGAGGUGAAACCAGAAAUCAGUGGGCCCUUGAAUGAACCCGCCCAGGAAAGUGAUAAAAGACAAAACCACCACAUCACCCACAGGUGAACAAUUGUCACAGAACGAUCGCUCCAUAUCUGACCCUUGCAGGCCUUGUCCUGAAAGGAAACCUGCACAAAAGUUUCAAAAUCUGAGCCUGGGAGCUUAAAUUCAUAACGCUGUCGGACACCGAGAUCAUGGACUCAGUAGAGACACUGGAUUUAUGGCUCAUUACAACAAUCUGAAACCCACUUUUGUCCUCGGACUGCAGAAGCGUUACCUGCCCACCUCACUUUGAAUGGUCACUUGCAAUGUGUGCUAACUCCUUGUGCUAAGCGAUCCACACUGCCCUCGGCGCACCUUUCCCAGCCCUGAGGAAGAGCUCUGUGGAGCUUGAAAGCUUGUCUCUCUCACCAGCAGAAGUUGGUCCAAUAACGGAUAUUACUUCCCCCACCUUGUGGGCUGGUCUACACUGGAAAUGUACAUCGGCGUAGUUACGUCUCUCAGGGUUGUGAAAAACCCACACCUUGGAGUAAUGCAGUUAUCCCCCAGUGCAAGCGGUGCUAGGUCCAUGGAAGAAUUCCAUCUCGGGGAGGUGAAUUAUGCGCCGAUGCAGCGUUUUAGAUGUAAACAUACCCUCUGUCUUUACAUGGCAACACAACUGUUCGUUUUGGGGCAAAGGGAAACAGUCAAAAUAAGUUGGAGCUGCAGUUGCUGUUGUUGUUAAAGUCCAAUCCCAUUUCCUCCAAGACAAGACAAACAAAAGGAGAGACAAGAACAGCAAAGCCAGACGACACAGCUUCUGGUUGUUAGUUCUCACUUGCAACCUCCCUGCUGGAGAAACCUGGGUCCAGCCCCCAGUGUGACCAGCCCCACUGAAAUCUGGCAAACUCGUGCCAGUAUUGAGCUGUGCAGGACAGUGCUUUUAGCUGCCUUUCUGGUCACAGGCUCACGUCUGGGUUGCAAGUUAUACACUCUUGGCCGACUAAGCCAAAAGGGAGAGAGACGAGAUGGUGAAGAAAUAAGGUGGGAAAGGAAAAGGACGUGGUGCGGAGGAAGGUGACAAAGGUGAGAUUGUAUGAAGUGUGGGGCAAUGUGGCUGGUGUCUGGCCACUCUCCAUGGAUGAAGUGGGGAACCAAUGAAUACAUCUGCACUGCCCAUCCUGAGCGGUGCAAGACGGAAAGAGUCCAUACGAUGCGGGUCCCUAGGAAGCCGUCUCAUGCAGUGUUGUUACGUUCACCUUGCGCAGAAACAAGCCCCCAAGUUACUCCCCUCCAGCACCGCUUUGCACCUGCCAGGUCAUCCAGAUUCAGAUAAUCCAGACACGUAACCACUCGUUCCACCUACUCUUGGGGCUUCCUCUUGGAAAGAGCCCAUGAUGCAGUAGAACCCCCGAGUCACAAACUGAGCAGUCAAGCUGAGCCCUGUUUGGAUCCAGCAGGACACAAUCAAGCCACCCCGAGACCAGGCCCAAACACUGCACAGAACAGUGCUGUGUUAAGCGUAAACUAGUAAAAAACAGCAGGGGAAGCUGCAUUUCCUCUGCACAGGAAAGUGUCAAAGCUGCGUUAAGUCAAUGUUCAGCUGGAAACUUCGGAAAGAACCAGACCGUUUUGUUCAGGGUUAUGAGCAGCCUCCACCCCCGAGGUGUUUGUAACUCCGAGGACCCACGGGCGAGUUUUGCCCAGCCCUUGAGGAUUGCGCACCUUGCUGAGGAGACGCCUUUGGAGUAACGAAUGAAGACGGCCACAGGAAUGAUACCUUUGUUGGACGCCAUAACCAACUUCCGCCAGACGUCAGCGCGAGAGAUUUGGAAGCACAGGAAUCCGCAUGAACUCACCACGCUUAAUAUCAAGCUAACAGUUAGAACGGGCGCAGCUGUGGGGCUCUGUAAUGUUUCUAUAGGUGCAGCCUCAGUUGGGUAUAACCGGGGCCUUCUUGAACUUUGCAAAGCAACGUGCUUUGGUAAUACCAUGGUAUGCUGCAAAAUAGCAAUGCUAACCAAACAUCUCAGCAGGUCGCUACCUUUGCCUCCCAAGCACAUGCAAAUUAGCACCAAAAAGCCUGGGCUUGCGCCAACCAUGAUCAGCCCCUCACUACUGCUAAGGGCUGACCCUGUGCAGCAUCAGGUGGCAGGGAGUUCCACAGGCCCACACCCUCUACACACUGUAAGCAACCAGCCUGCCCUAAAGAAUUGCCCCAGUUCAAUCCCUUCACAGACCAAAUUGGUCUGUGUGGCUGCCGACCAGAGCGUGAAGCAUGGCUAGGAGGGGACUGUGCCCCUCCUCGCCCCCUUUGUGCCUGUGAUGAGUCAACUCACUGCUACAGCCUCUCCUCGUGGCCGGGUGUGGCACCGCAGCUCCACCCCGUCCAACAGGCUCCCCGGCGAGCCUUGAUUUACGUCCACCCUUCCACGGUCAGCUCUGGGCCCCUUGCAGCCCUUGCCUCAGGGUGUCCUUAUCCCCUUAUAUGGGGGGGCUCAACCCUCCUGCCCCGGUCCCAGCCCAGGGCUGAUCGGUACCAUCCCCACUGCUGUGGCCCCAGGGCACAGCCACGUGCCUCCGCCCAACCCUCCCUCCUGGGGCUGGCAGGACGGACCCUGAGCUCCGUCCAGGGGGGUGUCUGGUUGGCUCCGGGCAGCAGG